GCCAAUCAGAAGUUGCGCUUUGGUUUCCGAACAUUUUGGAAGUCAAAUAGACUUCUGGAACUGAUUCCGUUUGACUUCCGAGGUACGACUGUAGUCUCAUGAGGGUUUGCUGUAGUAGAAGUCUUGCUCCAUUUCUGUCCUAACAUUCUUUAAAGAGCUGCACGUGUGAUGGUAAGCCACAAAUGCUCUAGUUUUCAUGGGCUUCAUUGGGAGCAGCUAAACAAGGCACUAAGCAGAUGGAUGGGGGACAGCAAGGACAUAAGCACACUCCUCUUUAAGGUAUUUUGGGGCAACUCUGCCCUUGUUUGUUACUGUAGCUGUUUUCCACAUUAAGCAGGUACUAUUAGCAACUAAAGUUAUCUUUAAGCAGGUAAGGACAGUCACUUGGGUCAUAGAUCAUACAAUGUAAAAGGGUGAUGGGAAGAGGUGCCUUCUUUCUGAUUUAAAGUAAAUACUGCUCUGAGACUGUGACUGCCAAACCUAUUUAUAAUGAAUGUCAUUACAAUCAGCUGUUCAAAUCAAUGCUUUCUAACUGCAGAUGGUACAUUUUAAGUCUGAUUGCUAUGUAGUAUUUAAUUAUGUUUUACAAUUCCUAUGCUGUUUUUAUACAAUCCAAAUAAAAUGCAGUCAGAAACUAUCUAAUGGGUGGUUUCAGUAGCUGCACAACUCUCCAGUUUAA